CAGCAGCCGCGGUAAUACGUAGGGUGCGAGCGUUAAUCGGAAUUACUGGGCGUAAAGCGCACGUAGGCGGUUAUUCAAGUCAGAGGUGAAAGCCCGGGGCUCAACCCCGGAACUGCCUUUGAAACUAGAUGACUGGAAUCUUGGAGAGGUCAGUGGAAUUCCGAGUGUAGAGGUGAAAUUCGUAGAUAUUCGGAAGAACACCAGUGGCGAAGGCGACUGACUGGACAAGUAUUGACGCUGAGGUGCGAAAGCGUGGGGAGCAAACAGGAUUAGAUACCCCCGUAGUCCCUGUCUCUUAUAC
rnacentral:rRNA from 1 species